GCGCCAGUGGUGUAGGGGUAACAUGCAAGACUCCCACUCUUGCGACCCGGGUUCGAUUCCCGGCUGGCGCA
rnacentral:tRNA from 1 species